rnacentral:RNase_P_RNA from 15 species
GCAAGCCGAAGGGCAGCUACCGGUUUCUAUAGAUUUAAUGUCUGUAGUUAAACUGAGGAAACUCCACCCAUCAUGCAGAGCCGUGGUGCCGUAGCAUCAGCUGAGAGGCUGGACCCUGGAGCAGAAACGACACGUCUCCUGGUGGAUGAUAAUGAAGCUUCACCCUCAAGGAGCAGACUGACAUCAGGAGGACCGGUGAAACGGCCAUUCCACGGGAUGCAAGGACAAAUGCUGCCUGUGAUUACUGUAGGAGGCAGAGGUAGUCCGCCCAGAUGAAUGCUGCCGAACAGAAGGUGGGUUACUCUCGGCAUGC